GACGAACGCUGGCGGCGUGCUUAACACAUGCAAGUCGAACGGAAAGGCCCUGCUUUUGUGGGGUGCUCGAGUGGCGAACGGGUGAGUAACACGUGAGUAACCUGCCCUUGACUUUGGGAUAACUUCAGGAAACUGGGGCUAAUACCGGAUAGGAGCUCCUGCUGCAUGGUGGGGGUUGGAAAGUUUCGGCGGUUGGGGAUGGACUCGCGGCUUAUCAGCUUGUUGGUGGGGUAGUGGCUUACCAAGGCUUUGACGGGGAGCCGGCCUGAGAGGGUGACCGGCCACAUUGGGACUGAGAUACGGCCCAGACUCCUACGGGAGGCAGCAGUGGGGAAUAUUGCACAAUGGGCGGAGGCCUGAUGCAGCAACGCCGCGUGCGGGAUGACGGCCUUCGGGUUGUAAACCGCUUUCGCCUGUGACGAAGCGUGAGUGACGGUAAUGGGUAAAGAAGCACCGGCUAACUACGUG
rnacentral:rRNA from 1 species